GAUGGUAUCUCGCUAUGGUUUUGACAUGCAUUUGCCUGACGAUUAGUGAUGUUGAUCACCUUUCCAUGUAUCUGUUGGCUACUUGUACAUUUUCUUUGGAGAAAUAUAAAAACUUCAGGUUCCUUUCUCUCCUCAUGCCAAAUUGUUCACAAAAUCUAAACCAAGGAAACAAUGAGAUUUUAAACUGCAUUACAUGUUUUGUGAAACUCUCUUCUCCUCCUUCCCCAAGCUAUCCACUUCUUUGUCUCUAAGGUAGAAUAUACUGAAAAUAAAAUGCAAGGAUGCACUUAAAUUCAUAUAAAUUUUAGCACUGGAAAAAUCUUUGGUUUAAUC
rnacentral:lncRNA from 1 species